CUCCUGGCCACUCCCUGCAGAGGCGAAGGUCCGAGGCCCAGGUACCGGAGAUCAAACUCAGGACCUUGUGCUUAUGAGGCAGGCAGCGGAACCACUGAGGUGAGCAGCUUUCCUCGACCACAUCCUUUUACGAUGGCGUUGCUGCCUGGCCACUGAGCCAGCUGACCGUGGACGGAAACCUCUGAAACUGUGAACCAAGAUAAAGUCUUCCCCCUUAAGUUGCUCUUCUCAGGAGAAGAGCAGAAGACAGAACCCACCCUGCCAGCCCUUUACAGUAGCAUCGAUCUAUGCAGGAGGUGGAGUGCGCGUGAUUCGAACACCUCCCCAAGGCCCCACCCUCUCAGUGCUGCUGUUUGGGAUUAAGUUUCCAACAUAGGAGAUGGCGGAGGGGCACAGUCAAAAUAGCCAGGAGGCUAUGGAGUGACUGUCCAAGGGCACAUCUGCAUUACUGUUCCUUAUCCCUUACCCAUCCUAUAUUGGUUUUCCAGAGCUGC
rnacentral:lncRNA from 1 species